UGCUUAUAGAGAAAGGCCGAGGGAAUAGACCCGCUGAAGCCUUAGCAACCUGACACUGUUCAAGGUGCUACAUUCUACCCUCCAAUUGGCGGGAAAGAUAAGCU
rfam:Sphingobacterium paucimobilis HER1398 contig3, whole genome shotgun sequence.